rnacentral:lncRNA from 1 species
GAAUAGUUAAAUAACAAAAAAGAACAAUUUAUUACAAGAUCAAUCAUAGGACCACCCUUGAUUAAUUUUUGAAGAAUUUUAGUAGAUAAGUAUUUUAGGAGCUCAGAGAAGGAAAAAGAGGUUGCUGUGUAUUGGUGGUCUAGUCAGGCUUCCUAAUUGGAGUGGUUUGAAUUGGGUCUUGAAGGAAUAGAUAGAUACAUGAAGAGAAAGGCGGAGUGUCAACUUUUACAGAAUACCUGCUUGAGGCUAGAAACUUCUCACCUAAAUCCCAUAACCCCAUUCAAGAGGUGAGAAACAGAGGCUUCUCCUUACCUCCACCCCCUGCCAGGGAUAGGCAAUUUAUAGGCAUUAAUUUUUGGCAGUCUGAUAGGUGUGAAGUGAAAUUCAUUGAUUUUUUUUUUAAAGAUUUUAUUUAUUUAUUCAUGAGAGACACCAAGAAAGAGGGAGAGACAUAGGCAGAGGGAGAAGCAGGCUCCCUGCAGGGAGCCCAAUGUGGGACUCCAUCUGGAACUCUGGGAUUGAAGGCAGAUGCUCAACCAUUGAGCCACCCAGGUGUCCCUGAAAUUCGUUAUUAUAGCCAAACACCUCUGGGUUCUGGGUUUUAAGUCUUGGGUAAGAUGAAUUAAUGAUAGAAAAGAAAGCAUAUAUAAUUAAUAGAUCAGGAUAUACCGUUUUGGGAGAAUAGAUAUUCAGCAUACGUAGUUUGCCUAGGCCUUUAUGAGGGUGUUCUAAUUUGAGUCUCUACAGCUGAAAUCUCAACUUGGUAAUUCUGAGGAAAGUUAUCCAUUCAAUCAUUUAUUUAACAUUUUUUUGAAUUCCAACUAUGUAUAGACACUGUUACAAACACAUCAACUGUACACUCUUACACUGUUCUUGUCAUCAGGUUGCUUUCAGUUUUUUGUUUUUGUUUUUUAAGAUUUGAUUUAUUUCAGAGGGAGAGAGCACAAACAGGGAGAAAGGGGAGAGGGAGAGGGAGAAGCAGACACCCUGUUGAGCAGGCAACCCAAUGUGGGACUCUAUCCCAGGACCCUGGGAUCAUAACCUGUGCCAAAGGCAGACACUUAACCAACUGAGCCACCCAGGUGCCCUGGUUGCUUACAAUUUAAUGGAAGAAACAUGUAGUCAUGUUUACAAUAUACGGAAAUAUGAACCAGUAUUUUUGUAUGUACUCUGAGAAACCUAGGAGUCCUCCUUGAGUCAUUUUUCUCCCUUACCUCAUCCUUCUACCUUUUCGUCAGUCAUCAAGAUAGUCCAUCUAUCUCUCAAAUAUUUCUCAAAUACAUUUGUUUCCCAUUCUUUCUGCCUUUACUUCAGUUUAGCUGAUAGUCAUCUCUUACCUUGGACUACUUAAUAGCCUCAAAUUGGUUUCCCCACAUUUACACUUUCAUCCCCCUUCAACUAAUUUGACAAUUGGCCUUCAGUCUGCUCUAUCUUCCUUUGAUUCUCCAAUACAAUGACCUUCUAAGAAAUGUAUACUAGGGACACCCGAGUGGCUCAGUGGUUGAGCGUUGCCUUUGGCUCAGAGCGUGAUCCCGGAGUCCCAGGAUCAAGUCCCACAUCAGGCACCCCAAGGAGCCUGCCUCUGCUUCUAUGUGUGUCUCAUGAAUGAAUAAAUAAAUAAAAUCUUAGGAAACUGUAGAACUAAAAAGAAAAGAAAUGUAGAACUGAUCAUGUUAUCUGCUUAAAAUCCUUCUGUGGCCUGUUUAAAGCCUGGUGAGAAGGAGCCAAUGACAGGCAUAAAUUUAAAUUUAGCAAUUUUGGAGAAAAGAAUAAUAUAUAAAUUGUGCCUACUAGAAUCUAAGCUUCAUGAUGGCAGGGACAGGGACCAUGCCAGUUUUGUUCAAUGUUAUAUCCUCAAUAUCUAGCACAGAGCCUGGGCAGUGGCAGAUGUUCAGUAAAUAUUUAUUGAAUUUUUUUUUUUUUUUUAAAAAGGACUCUUCUGGGGUACCUGGGUAGCUCAGUUAGUUAAACAUCCAACUCUUGGUUUCAGCUCAGGUCAGGAUCUCAGGGUCCUGAGAUGGAGCCUCAUGUUGAGCUCUGUGUUGUGUGGAGUCUGCUCAAGAUUCUCUCUCCCAUCUCCCUCCUCCUCCGCCCCUCCUCCCACUCACACAGGCAUGCACAUGCAUGCGUUCUCUCUCUCUCAAAAAAAACCUUCUAAGGCUAGAAUGAACCCUGUAAUGUUUCAUUGGAAUUGGAGAUACAAUACAAACUCAUGAUUUUAUAAAUAUAAAUACAUAAACACAUAUGUAUGCAUAAAUAUACUUUUAAGCUCUAUCUGCUGAGAGAGCCUAAGGCAAUGACACUCCAGAACCAGUGAAUAUACCAAGAGGUGUCUCAACUCAGACUCUUUAGAGAGAUUAGUUCUUUGCUAGUUCCAAACUGGGGCAGGAAAAGUACAUGAGCUGGGACAUCUGCAGUGCCAGAAAGUAGGGAUGUGCUCAAAAAAAGACCCAGCAAUCAACCUGAAGGUAUUUUAAUGGGACAGGAGACAUUUUGAGUAACAAAAUAAUAGUAAUGAAUUAUAACUCAUGGAAUAAAGUAUGAAUUCCUGAGUCAUUAUGAUAAGAACAAAUGAAUACAUCAGGGGAGAAGGAAAAAAAACCUUCCUUAGAGUAGCAUUGCAGCUAAUGUAGAAGAGGUGAUGUAAGAGCAGAUCACCAUUUGCAAACACCACAGAUAAUUAAUGCAGGCAAGAAUCAUUGAUGGAUGCUAAAAUUACUGGGUGAAAAUAUGCUGAGAAAUAAAAUAUUUAUAUACAAAAAUCUUCCCAAAGAUAGGGCACAUGGGUGGCUAAGUUGGUCAAACAUCCAACUCUGAUUUUGGCUGUGGUUGUGAUCUCCUGGGUCCUGAUCUCAUGGGUCAUGAGAUAGAGCCCUAUAUCACGCUCUGAGCUCAGUGGGGAGUCUGCUUGAAGAUUCUUUUCUUUUGUCCCUCCCCUGACUCAUGCUGUCUCUCUCA